GUACAAUUGUUAUAGUUGCCUUAGCAUUAUAUGAUACAAUAGUGAGGGAGAGAAGAGUAGGAGGUAGGGAGCCCCAUUAUAGACGCUUGUGCAUGUCCAACAUGUAUGCAAAGAAUGAACCUACAACAAUAGUAAACAUACUGACAAGACAAGUGAUCAAUUAUCAUGCUGCAGCAGAUUUCUUAUCCUCGUCGUCGUAGAUAUUCAAAGCCUGAAGUAACUUUGACCAUGACUCUGGAAUUCCUCCAGGGAGAUCAAACUCCAACAGCUUACCUCGCUGGCGGUAAAAGUCCUCUACUGGUUUGCUCAUUUCAUGGUAGAUGCGGAGGCGUUCCUUCACAACAUUUUCAGUGUCAUCAGACCGUGUAAUAAGUUUGGUUUCACAAUGCGGAGGAGGGAGAAGGGGAGGCAUGUACAUUCUAGUUUCUCCAUCAUCACCCUUCAUAUCAAUGCACGCAACAUUAUAAUUGCCUCCACACUCACUACAAGUCCUUCUUCCUAAGCACUUGGCAAUCAACGCAUCUUCCCGAAGCUUCAGAUUAAUCACCAAGUCAAUGUCUGUCACUCCCUCUAAGAUUUCCGCCUGCCGUAUAGUUCGAGGAAAUCCAUCAAGAAUAAAUCCUGUUACACCCUUUGCUUCUCCAGCUUCAAGACGCUUAGAUAGCAAAUCUAUUACAAUUUCGUCUGAAAUUAAUUGCCCUUGGCUAACAAUAUCCACAAGCUUUGAGGCAAGAGGACCAUGAGAGGAUAAUUGUUGACGGACGAGAUCACCAGUAGCUAUGUGGGGUACGCCAAGAAGCUUAGAAAGUCGAGCUGCAUAAGUCCCUUUUCCGACACCAGGGCAACCCAGGAAUACCCACUGAAUAUUUCUGCCCUUAGGCUCCGAUGUAGGUAAUUUUUCAGAAAAAGCCCGGCUAAAAUUGGUGGGUCUACAUCUCCAUGUUCUUACCACUGCACGGGUCCAAACCACCAUAGUUAAUCAAUGGAUCUUUACCCUUUUGUGAGAUUAAUGAUUGAAUUGAAUUGAAGUAAGAGUGAUUGAGGAAAGGAAAAGAGGAAAAUGAAAGAGGUGGGUGGGGAAAAGGAAAAGGGAAAAUGGGGGUUUGACAAUGCCGACCAUGAAAGAUGUCAGCAAGCAUAAUGGGUUUCAACACAGCACCGAG
rnacentral:misc_RNA from 1 species